CUGGCUCAGGAUGAACGCUAGCGGCAGGCUAACACAUGCAAGUCGAGGGGUAACAGGGCGUAGCAAUACGCCGCUGACGACCGGCGCACGGGUGCGUAACGCGUAUACAACCUACCUGUAACAGGGGGAUAACGGAGUGAAAACUCCACUAAUACCCCAUAUUGACGAGUCUUCGCAUGGGGGUUCGUCGAAAGCUUCGGUGGUUACGGAUGGGUAUGCGUGACAUUAGGUAGUUGGCGGGGCAACGGCCCACCAAGCCGACGAUGUCUAGGGGAGCUGAGAGGCUAGUCCCCCACACUGGUACUGAGACACGGACCAGACUCCUACGGGAGGCAGCAGUGAGGAAUAUUGGUCAAUGGACGGAGGUCUGAACCAGCCAUGCCGCGUGAGGGAAGAAGGUCCUAUGGGUUGUAAACCUCUUUUGCUCCGGAGCAAUAAGGCGGAUGCGUCCGCCGACGAGAGUACGGGGCGAAUAAGCAUCGGCUAACUCCGUGCCAGCCGCCGC
rnacentral:rRNA from 1 species